GUUCGAUCGAGUCUGGCACAAAGGUUUGUUGUACAAGAUAAAGAAAUGGCUACCUGCUCCGUACUAUUUAUUAAUCAAAUCAUAUCUGGCUAGAAGAUGCUUUUACGUGCAGCAGAAAACCGAUAGUUCAUCACUACUUCUCAUCAACUCAGGCGUCCCACAAGGAAGCGUAUUGGGACCAAUUCUCUACACCCUAUAUACGGCCGACAUGCCAGUUACAAACAACUGCACUGUUGCAACAUAUGCUGAUGAUACAGCCGUUUUAGCCACAAGCACAUCUAUAAAUGAAGCUUCUGAACUCCUGCAG
rnacentral:lncRNA from 1 species